CGAUGGAUGCUAGGUGUGGGAGGUAUCGACCCCUUCCGUGCCGGAGUAAACGCAAUAAGCAUCCCGCCUGGGGAGUACGACCGCAAGGUUGAAACUCAAAGGAAUUGACGGGGGCCCGCACAAGCAGCGGAGCGUGUGGUUUAAUUCGAAGCAACGCGAAGAACCUUACCAAGGCUUGACAUCCCCCGCUAUCUCGGGAAACCGGGAGUUCCCUUCGGGGACGGGGAGACAGGUGGUGCACGGUUGUCGUCAGCUCGUGUCGUGAGAUGUUGGGUUAAGUCCCGCAACGAGCGCAACCCUUGUACUUAGUUGCCAGCACUUAAGUUGGGCACUCUAGGUAGACUGCCGGUGACAAACCGGAGGAAGGUGGGGAUGACGUCAAAUCAUCAUGCCCCUUAUGUCUUGGGCUACACACGCGCUACAAUGGUCUGUACAAAGGGAAGCGAGGUCGCGAGACGGAGCGGAUCCCAUAAAACAGAUCUCAGUUCAGAUUGCAGGCUGCAACUCGCCUGCAUGAAGUCGGAGUUGCUAGUAAUCGCGGAUCAGAACGCCGCGGUGAAUGCGUUCCCGGGCCUUGUACACACCGCCCGUCACACCACGAAAGUCUGCAACACCCGAAGUCGGUGAGCUAACCUGAGAAGGAGGCAGCCGCCGAAGGUGGGGCCGGUAAUUGGGGUGAAGUCGUAACAAGGUAACCGUA
rnacentral:rRNA from 1 species